UAUAAGACUGGGAUAACUUCGGGAACCCGGGGCUAAUGCCGGAUAAUAUUUAGAACCGCAUGGUUCUAAAGUGAAAGAUGGUUUUGCUAUCACUUAUAGAUGGACCCGCGCCGUAUUAGCUAGUUGGUGGGGUAAUGGCUUACCAAGGCAACGAUACGUAGCCGACCUGAGAGGGUGAUCGGCCACACUGGAACUGAGACACGGUCCAGACUCCUACGGGAGGCAGCAGUAGGGAAUCUUCCGCAAUGGGCGAAAGCCUGACGGAGCAACGCCGCGUGAGUGAUGAAGGUCUUCGGAUCGUAAAACUCUGUUAUUAGGGAAGAACAAAUGUGUAAGUAACUGUGCACGUCUUGACGGUACCUAAUCAGAAAGCCACGGCUAACUACGUGCCAGCAGCCGCGGUAAUACGUAGGUGGCAAGCGUUAUCCGGAAUUAUUGGGCGUAAAGCGCGCGUAGGCGGUUUCUUAAGUCUGAUGUGAAAGCCCACGGCUCAACCGUGGAGGGUCAUUGGAAACUGGGAAACUUGAGUGCAGAAGAGGAAAGUGGAAUUCCAUGUGUAGCGGUGAAAUGCGCAGAGAUAUGGAGGAACACCAGUGGCGAAGGCGACUUUCUGGUCUGUAACUGACGCUGAUGUGCGAAAGCGUGGGGAUCAAACAGGAUUAGAUACCCUGGUAGUCCACGCCGUAAACGAUGAGUGCUAAGUGUUAGGGGGUUUCCGCCCCUUAGUGCUGCAGCUAACGCAUUAAGCACUCCGCCUGGGGAGUACGACCGAAGGUUGAAACUCAAAG
rnacentral:rRNA from 1 species